ensembl:lncRNA
GAGGAGAGUAGGGCUGAGUGUGUCCUGUGUUUAGAAGAAGAACCCAAACAUAAAAAGAACAAGACGCUUCGGGUUUGCCAGUGAAGAAGGACAAGGAGGUAGCGACAAACGAUCAAAGCAUCAAAAUGAAAGUCUGCCACACUUUGAUCUCCUUUAUCUUCCUCACUCUGCAGGGUGUUGUCGAUGCAGUCAUUCCCAUCCGCACUGGAGUGGAAGGAGGAACCAUCACAGUUGGAUGCUCAUUUACUCUGUCUGGAAGCAGGAAGCUCUUCUGUAAAGAAAAAUUUGUCUAUGUGAGCAUCACUAAGCUGGAAAAGUCUGACUCAGGCCGGUACAGGUGCUCUUUGGACAGAACGCCUUCAGAUCGCUUAUCUUUAAACUGGGAUUUUGAGAUCGUUGUCACAGAAGCUUCAACUACUUUCAAGACUAAAUCACCUGUGAAACCUAUUUCUUCGUCAGCUCAUCUCUCUUCACCACCACCACCACCAACACAGAGUUUUACUUCAGGAAGUACCUUACCUUUAUCAGCCUUCAGUGAAAGCACCAAACAGCCUAAAACAUCACUUGCAAGUUCAGGUAUCCUCUUGCCUGUGGUUAUAAUAGUGGUAUUGGUUAUUUUUCUUCUGCCUGUUGUUCUGUUGCUCAUCUAUGAAAAAAGGGCAGUUCAUUUUAACGAUUUAAACAGGAGGAGAAGCUCAGACCACAACCAGACUGAGAUGGUUCUUUAUGAUGACUGUUCUCCAACCUCCAAAUGUGAAGGCUGAACUUAUCUUACUCUUGGUGCAACCUGCAAGGACAAGGACUGAACCUACUCCACACUCAUGGAGGCACAAUAACACACACGAUCCUGUCUGCAGAUGGACCUUGACUUUUAAUGAGUUUAAUGAGACCACACAAGCCAACGGUGAUGGAUCAUUUGCCCGGAGACACAUUGUCAUGGUCCUGGGUGUCCGACGCAGUAUUUUGAGCCUGUUCUGACCAUAUGAUUUAUUUCUUUGCAAAUAUUAUGAGAUACCUCUUCUACUUCUAGAGAUAUUUCUAGUUCUUGGUUCUUGUUUAAUUAUCUUAGUUCCCUUUUCGUGCCCAGUCUGUCCCAGUGUCAUCUCUGUCUUGUCUUCGUCCUUUUGUGCCCCCAGUAAGACACGUCGCCAUGUCUGUUUAUUUCUGGUUCCUGUGUUAAGUUUACGUGUCAUAUUCUGGGUCUCAGUGUGUGCAUUAGUUCCUGUUUUAUUUUAAUAGUCCCACGUAUUGUGUGCAUGAUGUUCAGUUCUGCUUCCCCUGUCUAGUUAGACUGAUGCUGUUCAGCUGUGCUCCCAGGUGUGUGCACUCUACCCUAAUCUGCUCUUCUACAUAUAUUCUCUGCCUCUCCUGCUGUUCUUAUGUUUUGUGAGCCCCUGUCAGUCUGUUCCUACCCAAACCUGUUGUCAUUCUUCAGCCCCAUGAUGCAUGACAACACUGGAUGAGAAGUUGUGAAGUUGUUUCGCUUCUUUCUUAUUUGCUAGUAGUGAUGUGCAAAUAAAGCAAUCAAUCAGUAUUAGACCACUUCAUGAGUUGUUUUGAAAAUGGGUUCAUUCAUUCAAAGCUUUGUUUAAGUGACAGUGGCAAAAUAGGAGACACCAAAACAAUGUCUCAAUAAUCAUGUGCUGAGUGUAACUAGGGUUUGUGUGAAUGAUAUAAAUACAAUUUUGUAAAGAUGGAUUGACUGGCCAAUUGAUUCUGUAAACUUAUGUAACGUAGUAGCUGGAAGACGAC